UGCGCACACGGAGCUCCCGGUCCCCGCCCCCGCCGGCGACCCCGGAUCAGGGGGUCGCGACCCUUGGGCUGAUUCCCUCGGCGGGCAGCCUCCGGGGAGCAGCCUGCCUCUGCUGGACUACUUUCCUCCUGAGACAGCUCUUCUUAAAGACAUUGCUUUGUGUUGAGUAGAAACGCGUUUCCACCAGGCAUUCACCCUUUGGUUCCACUGUCCGGUGCUCAAGAGAAUAAAUCUAAACCCUCUUCUCCAGGGCAAGCCAACAGUCCUUCAAGUACAGGUCGCUUCAAAUGCUUACCAAGACAGCUCAUUUAUUUAUUUGACACAUGUUCAUUGAGUGCCUCCUAUGUGCUGGUUGCUGUUCUGGGCUCUGAGGUUAUAACAGGGCAUCAUUGGCCUCUUGGUAGGAAUAGCAAGAUCUCCAGGGUGUGCACACCUCUGGGCACCUCUGGAUUUUCAUCAUACUCAGGU